GCCCGUAUGGCGUAGUGGUAGCGCGUCGCUCUUGUAUAGCUAAGCGAAGGUCGUCGGAUCAACCCCGGCUGUGGGCA
rfam:Exidia glandulosa HHB12029 unplaced genomic scaffold EXIGLscaffold_6, whole genome shotgun sequence.